rnacentral:rRNA from 1 species
AUUGAACGCUGGCGGCAUGCUUUACACAUGCAAGUCGAACGGUAACAGGCCGCAAGGUGCUGACGAGUGGCGAACGGGUGAGUAAUGCAUCGGAACGUGCCCAGUCGUGGGGGGUAACUACUCGAAAGAGUAGCUAAUACCGCAUACGAUCUAUGGAUGAAAGCGGGGGACCGUAAGGCCUCGCGCGAUUGGAGCGGCCGAUGUCAGAUUAGGUAGUUGGUGGGGUAAAGGCUCACCAAGCCAACGAUCUGUAGCUGGUCUGAGAGGACGACCAGCCACACUGGGACUGAGACACGGCCCAGACUCCUACGGGAGGCAGCAGUGGGGAAUUUUGGACAAAGGGCGCAAGCCUGAUCCAGCAAUGCCGCGUGCAGGAAGAAGGCCUUCGGGUUGUAAACUGCUUUUGUACGGAACGAAACGGCUCUGGUUAAUACCCGGGGCUAAUGACGGUACCGUAAGAAUAAGCACCGGCUAACUACGUG